rnacentral:rRNA from 1 species
AAUAGUGAUUCCGUGAGUAGUGGCGAGCGAAAGCGGAAGAGGCUAAACCAUGGAUGUGUGAUAGCCGGCAGGUGUUGCAUUCGUGGGGUUGUGGGGUUCAUCUUGUCAAUGCUGCCGUGUUGGCCGACAGUAAGAAAUCAUUGUGUUAGUGGAAGUGGUCUGGAACGGCCUGUCGUAGAGGGUGAGAAUCCCGUACACGAAAAUGCGAUGACUGUCGUGAUGGAAACCCAAGUAGCACCGGGCCCGUGAAAUCUGGUGUGAAUCUGUCGGGACCACCCGAUAAGCCUGAAUACUCCCUGGUGACCGAUAGCGGACUAGUACCGUGAGGGAAAGGUGAAAAGUACCCCGGGAGGGGAGUGAAAUAGUACCUGAAACCGUGCGCUUACAAUCCGUCAAAGCCUUUGCACACUUCGGUGUGGGGGGUGAUG